UCGAGUUUAAUUUCUGCUGCUGAAACUUGAUCUUUAAUCAAGAACUUGAAUCUCAGCAUUUAACACAGCUUUUCUGCAGUGGUGAAAAAAUGCUGUGACACAAUAAUGCUUUUACAAAUACAGAUUUUAAUUGUUAUUUUUAAAUCGCUUUUCAAUAUUCAAAGUGAGCUAAAAGAAGAAAACAGUAAAACUUUUGUGUCCAGUUUAUAUUGGUACACUUGCACAGAGUCAAAGAUUACUCAGGUUUAUAUUAACAAAGGAGAUGAGAUCAAAAACACAAUCGCUGUAUAAAACAGAAACAGCUAAAGUUCUACUAAAGUCAGGUUAUAUAUUACAGAUCAAACACAUCCAAACUGAGGAGAGCAACAAAACACAAGAUACAGUAAGGUUUCUCUUAAGAAAAGAUUUCAAAGCAGACUGGUUUUAAGUUCUCCGGAUCAGAUUUGUUAAAAAAAAAAAAAAAAAAAAGGCACAAAAACUGCAAAGAUUUGAUCUUAGACACAGUUGUCAGCAAAGUUUUUUUUUUUUUUUGUGGUAUAAAUGAAACAUAUCAAAAU